rnacentral:rRNA from 1 species
CCAAUAGCGUAUAUUAAAGUUGUUGCAGUUAAAAAGCUCGUAGUUGAAUUUCGGGAUUAGUAGGUUGGUCGUGCCUCCGGUAUGUACUGGCUUUACUGAUUCCUCCUUCUUGAAGAACUGUAAUGUCAUUAAUUUGGUGUUGCAGGGAAACAGGACUGUUACUUUGAAAAAAUUAGAGUGUUUAAAGCAGGCUAACGCUUGAAUACAUUAGCAUGGAAUAAUGAAAUAGGACGUUUGAUCCUAUUUUGUUGGUUUCUAGGAUUGACGUAAUGAUUAAUAGGGAUAGUUGGGGGCAUUAGUAUUCAAUUGUCAGAGGUGAAAUUCUUGGAUUUAUUGAAGACUAACUACUGCGAAAGCAUUUGCCAAGGAUGUUUUCAUUAAUCAAGAACGAAAGUUAGGGGAUCGAAGACGAUCAGAUACCGUCGUAGUCUUAACCAUAAACUAUGCCGACUAGGGAUCGGAUGAUGUUAAUUUUUUAAUGACUCAUUCGGCGCCUUACG